rnacentral:tRNA from 1 species
GUGUGAGAAGCGAAGCAUUGCAUAUGAUUUCGGCUCAUAGUUUGGGGACACAAGCACCUCUUCACACA